GAACGCGCAUAUCUCCACUAAGAACUCCGAUGGAGACGGCAGAUCUCUUUUCCGUAACUGUCGUUGAUCCCCGAAUAGGUGAUUACCAAACCGGCUUAGAUACCAUCGUAGUACAACAACGUAAUCGUUGGGAACUAGUUCUCGCGUCCAUUACAGAGGAUUCCGUGUCGCAUUUAACGCAAUAAGUUCCCCGCCUGGGGAGUACGGCCGCAAGGCUAAAACUCAAAGGAAUUGACGGGGACCCGCACAAGCGGCGGAGCAUGCGGAUUAAUUCGAUGCAACGCGAAGAACCUUACCAAGGCUUGACAUAUACGAGAACGGGCCAGAAAUGGUCAACUCUUUGGACACUUGUAAACAGGUGGUGCAUGGUUGUCGUCAGCUCGUGUCGUGAGAUGUUGGGUUAAGUCCCGCAACGAGCGCAACCCUCGUUCUAUGUUGCCAGUACGUAAUGGUGGGAACUCAUGGGAUACUGCCGGGGUCAACUCGGAGGAAGGUGGGGAUGACGUCAAAUCAUCAUGCCCCUUAUGUCUUGGGCUUCACGCGUGCUACAAUGGCCGGUACAAAGGGCUGCAAUACCGCGAGGUGGAGCGAAUCCCAAAAAGCCGGUCCCAGUUCGGAUUGAGGUCUGCAACUCGACCUCAUGAAGUCGGAGUCGCUAGUAAUCGCAGAUCAGCAACGCUGCUAAAGGGAUACGUUCCCGGGUCUUGUACACACCGCCCGUCUUAUUAAUGAAAGUCGGUAACACCUGAAGCCGGUGGGGUAACCUGCAAAGGAGCCAGCCGCCGAAAGGUGGGGAAGAAGGGGGA
rnacentral:rRNA from 1 species